ensembl:lncRNA
CAAUGAUGCAGGCCCUUGAAAUGCAGCAAAGGCCUAUGUAUUUCUGUAGCAUUGAGCCAUCACAAGAACCGGGCCCAUCAAGUUUGCCGCCUGAACCAUCUGCAGCUGCUACUCAGGAUAGCCCGGCGGAUCAAACACCAUUCCCAUCCGCAGCACCUGCUCCGUCAGCAUCCCUGCAGAUAAGACAAUCUCGUCAGGUGCCGCCGGUUUGAUGAAGGCUGUGAGGUAAGCUACCUUUCUGGCCAUCCCCAAUAGGGGGACCCCUGUUCUAAGGGCUUCCGACAAAAUUUCAGUAUGGUGGAUUGAUUGUAAAAGUUUAAAAUAAGUUUUACUUAAAACAAAUUCUGAAUUGUUUAAUGUGUCUGUCCGAACAGGAUUAACCUUGGAAGGCGGAGGCUUCUGUGGCACUGUAUUAUAGGAAGGAUGUUGGGGAGGUUAUGGUGAGGACCGGGACGAAUGGAGUGGCAAGAUGGGUCGUCAUUAAGGCCAUAAGGGGCUGUGGUGGACAGCCUAUAAAUCCACCUUUGUUCUGCAGCUCUCCUCUGGCCCAGGGACCAACCGGCGUUGGUCUCAAGACCUGACAAUAAAAAGUUAGUAAUGUGAUGGGAGAUGAAGUGGCUAUAUAGUCUUUUAUUGUCUGUUCCUUUUUGAAUGUGGUAUAUGUGCUGGUAUAGUCUCUGUUUGAUGGUGGCUCCUGUUUCUCCCACAUAGAUGCUCCUGCAUAGUCUGCACUGUAUGGCGUAGACGACGUUGCAGGAGAGUAGCGUGAAGGUCUGCGAGAUGGGGACACUGGCACGAGAGCUGGAAAUGUACUUAAGGGAGGACUGGCCGGUCUGGCUGGAAGAGGGCGGUCACUUCCCCUUUGAUGGUCCGAAGGAAGCGUUUGGAGUAGCCACGUGGUCUAAGGGCCUUAAAGAGGAUCCUGGUGGCCUCCUCUACGUGAUGGGUUAGAGAGCAGAUGCGGUGGAAACUGAUUAGUUGGGACUUGAUGAUGGAGCUGAAAGUGUGCCGGGGAUGGUAGCUGGUGUUAAAUAAUAGUGAAUGGGUUAGAUUUCCCCAAUAGGUUCCGCCGAAUAGUCUUUGGCUGGGAGAUGGGGUGUGCUUGGGUCAGGAGACAGGGUGCCGUUGAUCCGCCCGAUGGGGUUGUAGAAUAUCCCAAAAACCGUUUCAAAGUCCAAAGUUAAAAAAAGCUGAACACGUAGAUGUCUCUGUACUCACCCGUCGAAAAAGCAUUUGCAGGAGAUUCGAUUUAAAAACAAAAGGGAAUAAGAUAAUUUCCACAGGUGUUGAAAAAGUAAAAAGUUUAAUCGCUCCAAAAUGCAGGUUGACAGAGUAAAAAACAGACUUUGGUUAAAACAAGCGAAAUAAAAGAAUAAAACAAUAAAUCUAAGUUAAAAACUCCAAAGUUGUUCCCAACUCUUCUAGACUAACUAACUUUACAUCAACAGGAUAGAGAGCGUUCCUUACGUUUCACCAGGUUAGGCUUCGUCAGAGGAUUGAGAGAAAUAGGACAGAACAACAUUUAUAAGAAAGGUAAGAAUAUGCAGUAGGUUGAAGGAGUUAGGGUUAGGGUUAGGGUAGGGGGUUUUAACCGAAGUGCACCCCGGUGCAGGCCGUUUUCGGUGAAUAUCUUUUGACAGGAAGGUGCUAGAGAAACGGGAGGCAGAUGCACCCCCCCCAAAGGGAGGAGCAGCUUUCCAACGGUGCCAAGCCCGAGUUUGUGCGACCUUCACCCCCCGAGAUGUGGACUAACACAGUGUACAUUAAACGUUUUAGGAAAGUGCACUAAACAGUAGAUUAGAGCUGGACAAAUGCACCUACAAUAAAACAACAUUCAGCAGCAUAGAACACAAACAUGCAGCACAAUUAACUUAGACACUAACAUGACCUGCACAGGACAGGAGCACACAAGAGACAAGCAAGCAGGACACAGCAUUUACCAAUAAGUCGGCAGGAGAAGCAAUUGCAGUCCUAGAGUGUACAUAAUUGAUGACCAAUAAGCCAUAUUUUCAGCUGUCCUGAAAAGGGAAGAAAGAACUAAUUUCUCUAAUAUGAGCUGGUAGUGAGUUCCAUUCCUGUGAUGCUGUAACUGAGAAUGCUGAGUGGCUAAAGGCACUUUUUCUAAGGGGUACUACACAGUCUCCCCUGGACGAGCCUCUGGUUAUCCGGUUUGUAUUUGACCUCUGAGUGAUACACUGUUGAAGUGGUGGGGGGGGGCUUUGUUGUAUGUAUGUAGUUACCAGUGUUGGGUAUCGUUACUUUUGAAAGUAAUCCGUUAGGUUACUUUGUUACUAUCAAUUAAAAGUAAUCCGUUACGUUACUGCGUUACCUAUAAAUAAAAGAAACGCGUUAGAGUACUUGUGCGUUACCAACAAUUAAAAUGCGUUUGGGGUGCGUGCGUGUCCGCCUAGCGCAUCAACAACA